rnacentral:rRNA from 1 species
AUUGAACGCUGGCGGAAUGCUUUACACAUGCAAGUCGAACGGCAGCACGGACUUCGGUCUGGUGGCGAGUGGCGAACGGGUGAGUAAUGUAUCGGAACGUGCCCAGUCGUGGGGGAUAACGUAGUGAAAAUUACGCUAAUACCGCAUACGAUCUAUGGAUGAAAGCGGGGGAUCGCAAGACCUCGCGCGAUUGGAGCGGCCGAUAUCAGAUUAGGUAGUUGGGGGGGUAAAGGCCCACCAAGCCAACGAUCUGUAGCUGGUCUGAGAGGACGACCAGCCACGCUGGAGCUGAGACACGGUCCAGACUCCUACGGGAGGCAGCAGUGGGGAAUUUUGGACAAUGGGCGAAAGCCUGAUCCAGCCAUUCCGCGUGCAGGAUGAAGGCCCUCGGGUUGUAAACUGCUUUUGUACAGAACGAAAAGGUUUCUACUAAUACUAGGAGCUCAUGACGGUACUGUAAGAGUAAGCACCGGCUAACUACGUGCCAGCCGCCGCCGUAACAC